GCUCCCAUCCGUAGCUUAGUCAGUAGAGCCAUGAGACUCUUAAUCUCAGGGUUGUGGUUUUGAGCACCACCUUCGGCA